rnacentral:rRNA from 1 species
UGGGGGAUAUUGCACAAUGGGCGAAAGCCUGAUGCAGCGACGCCGCGUGGGGGAUGAAGGCCUUCGGGUUGUAAACUUCUUUUGCUCUGAACAAGGCAUGCCGUUGGGGUGUGUUGAGUGUAGGGGUUGAUUAGCGCCGGCUAACUACGUGCCAGCAGCCGCGGUAAUACGUAGGGCGCGAGCGUUGUCCGGAAUUAUUGGGCGUAAAGGGCUUGUAGGUGGCUGGUUGCGUCUGUCGUGAAAGCUCAUGGCUUAACUGUGGGUUUGCGGUGGGUACGAGCUGGCGUGAGUGCAGUAGGGGAGGCUGGAAUUCCUGGUGUAGCGGUGGAAUGCGCAGAUAUCAGGAGGAAUACCGGUGGCGAAGGCGGGUCUCUGGGCUGUUACUGACGCUGAGGAGCGAAAGCGUGGGGAGCGAACAGG